rnacentral:lncRNA from 1 species
GUGUUUGGUCUGGUCAGCCCUGCCUCAGCGCUGUUGAUGUGCUGUGCCCCAUUGACUUCGGAUGAGGUCUCAUUCUGUCACCAAACUGGAGUGAAGUAGUGGGAUCUUCACUGCAAUUGCAGGCUCAAGCAAUCCUCUCACCUUAGCCUCCUGAGUAGCUGGGACCACGGGCACAUGUCACCAUGCCAAGCUACUUUUUGUAGUUUUUGGGAAGAGACAGGGCUUCACCAUGUUGUCCAGGCUGGUCCUGAACUCUUGAGGUCAAGUGAUCCUUUCACCUGGGGCUCCCAAAGUGCUGGGAUUAGAGAAAAACUGCUGGCACUAACAGAGUUGGUUCACGAGCAUAUUUGUCAAAAACAGCCUCUCAAAUCAAGAUCUUGCUCUCUGGACAUGGAUGAAUCUGGAGAACAUCAUUCUCAGCAAACUGACACAAGAACAGAAAAUGAAAUACCGCAUAUUCUCACUCAUAGAUAUAACCAAUGCCCUGAAGUUAGUUUGUUUUAUUACUGUUCAUAAUUUUUUUUGAGACAGAGUCUCGUCCUGUUGCCAGGCUGGAGUGCAGUGGCGCCAUCGCAACUCACUGCAACCUCCGCCUCCUGGGUUCAAGUGAUUCUCCUGCUUCAGCCUCCCAAGAAGCUGGGACUACAGGCACACUCCACCAUGCCCAGCCAAUUUUUGUAUUUUUAGUAGAGAUGGGGUUUCACCAUGUUGGUCAGUAUGGUGUCAAUCUCCUGACCUCAUGAUCCACCUGCCUCACCCUUACUGUUUAUAAUUUUAUAUUUUAUGAUAUAUGUAUCUGUAAACAAUAUAGUUUUGUGGAUUAAAAGAUAUAUUAAUACUAAAAUACUAUAUCUGUUAUGUACUAAAUUGUAUCUCCCUCCUCCAGAAUUCAUAUGUUGAAGCCCUAAUCCCCAGUAUGACUAUUUUUGGAGAUGGGGCCUUUAAGGGGGUUUUUAAGGUAAGAUGAAGUCAUAGGGUGGGCCCUGAUGCAAUACUACUGAUGUCCUUAUGAGAAGAGGAGAUGAGGGCACACAGAGUGACACCAAGGAUGUGCGCACAGAGAAAAAAGCCAUGCGAGGAGGUGGCCAUCUGCAAGCCAGGGAGAGAGGCCUCAGAACUCAAGCCUGCUGACAUAUUAAUCUUGGAUAUCUAACCUCUAGAAUUGUGAC